UCUCUAGGUGUGUAGGAGGUUGAAUGGUUCAGGUUAACCAGCUGUAAAAGUGCCAAAGACAGGACCUCCAUGUCUGUGACUUAGAACAGUGUAUGUUGCUAAGAGACGAACACACACUCAGCAAGGAGCACUUUAACAGAGCACUGGACUGCAUGAGGAGGGAGGGCUGUAGAAUGGAGAACGUUGAGAAGAACAUCAGAAGCAGGAAGUAUGCUUUCAACAGCAUCCAGCUGAAGACCUUCCCUAAACCCUACCGCCCUCCGGAGGGCACCUACGGGAAAGUAGACACUUAGAAGGAGGACGAGAGAGAAGGGGUGGAAUGAUUGAGGGAUGAAUGAAGAACGGAUGGAUGGAUGGAUGGAGAACUAUAGAGGGAUAGAAGGAUGAAGAGCCUGGAAAAUAGACACUUAGGAGGAGGACGAGAGAGAAGGGGUGGAAUGAUUGAGGGAUGAAUGAAGAACGGAUGGAGAACUAUAGAGGGAUAGAAGGAUGAAGAGACUGGAAAAUAGACACUUAGGAGGAGGACGAGAGAGAAGGGGUGGAAUGAUUGAGGGAUGAAUGAAGAACGGAUGGAGAACUAUAGAGGGAUAGAAGGAUGAAGAGACUGGAAAAUAGACACUUAGGAUAACAUGGAGGGAAGUGUUGUAUGUUUAAUUCUGUAAAUAUUGAGUUUGAAAAAAUAAUGAAAAAACAUUUUUAAAAGCUCAAGUGUUUUCCACACGUUUUCACACAACAUGAAGUAACAUAGUAGCCUACUAGUUCUAGUUAGGAAGCGAGGAAGUCCAUAUUAUGGUGCAACAACACGUUCAGACCACUAGAUGGCGCUACUCGUGUAGCUCAGCCAUACCGCCUGAAACUCUGUCUCCCUCCA